AAAUCAAAUAAUAAAAUUAAAAAAAAUAUUUCAUCUCUUAAGUUAGAUCAUAUAUCAAUUUUAAAAUCAACUCAACUUAUCAGGUGACAGUAUUCUUAUUAUAUAGCACUUUCAACAAUUCAUUUACAAUAGUGAAUCGCUACAAUGAUAGAAUCGCUACAAUGAUGAUUAGGGCUGUCGGUGUACUCUUUGCUAAAAUUGCUAACGACAAUCGCUACAAUUGCUACAAAUGAUUCAAUCUUGUGGAGAUGAUCUGGUUGUGAGCUGCCGGUGGUGAGCUCUGCGCGAUUUACUGGUGCCGCUUCAAAAAUUGAUUUGUGUUGGAAAGUCAGACUAAAUUUGCACUUCAAUUGCUUCAAUUUGGGAAUUUUAAGAGUUGAAAAGGUAUAAAGCUAUUGUUCUUCGAAUUGAUAGUCCUGGAGGUGAUGCUCUUGCUUCUGAUUUGUAAGUCCUGUUAUGUGAUGGAUCUUUCCACUGUGUGCACCAUGAUGUUUUUCUACAAAUGUGGAGAGAAAUCAGACUGCUGGCAGAAUCUAAACCUGUUGGUAUUCACAGAUCAGUGACGAGUGAUUCCAGCUACAGUGGAAGGGCUCGUAGAGUUUUUUCUUGACACUAAAGCACAGGAGAUUGAGUUUGAGGUUGCAAGACUAAGACCAGGAAGCCUAUGAUAAAUUGCAAGCAAAUCUCGUAGCAACAAGGAAGAACUUAAUCGAUAUUUUUACUUCAAAGGAUGUCAAGGCAACUCUGUUGGAUUCGGUUGAGAGGAAUCAACUGAAUAGACCCUUGUUGACGCUUCUUGAUGAAAACAUCACAACUGCACAUAGUGCUAACCAUGUGAGACAAGCAAAUUCCAUAAAAUACAGAUAAAAAUUUUGUGGGAGUGAUGAUGCAUGUUUUUGAAAAUGUUUGUGCAACAUAAGAAAUAACUGAAACUUAUAUAGAAAAAUAUGAUUCGAAAAGAAAGAAGAGGUAUCUUUUUGAACUGAUUAUCAAUAACUGACAUAUAAAUCCACAUAAUUUUCCACAAUUUCAGUGUACUUCAUGGUUGUCCUGUGCUUUCUCCUAAUAGUAAUAUCAUCGAUCCAAAGAAAAUAAUAAGUUGAAAAGCCACCUUGCCUAGAUUGAGAAUUGGUUGGAUAGAAAUGGUAAGGUCAGUUUUCAUUUCUUGAUUUGUUGGUAGUAACAAUCUGUUGGUAGAACUUCUCUUGCUUUUUUUGUGUACCUGCUGCUGAUUAGCUGGUGAAAGUUUGGUAUUGUUGCCUGAUAUUAUUAGUUUGGUAUUAUGUCCUGAAAGAAUAUAAAGAUGAUCCCCCCUUUAAGCUUGGGCCAGCUAAGAAGUUUCUCCAAGUGAUGCUUGAUAUACUUUUUGCAUUCAAAAGGGUAGAUGCUAUGUUGUACAUAUCAAAUUUUGAUUAUGAGGUUGACUACCUCAAAAAGUCAUUUGAAACUCUGGAGGUAACUAUUUAAGGUCAUCUUCAACUUUCCGUUGUAUAUUGAGUUCUCUAAUAAUCACUAAACAGAUCUGAUUUUGAUUUGAUAGAAGAAAGGUUUGUGUAAGGUUUUUCUGUUAAACAUGUUAAAUAAGUAAAUAUGUUGGUACGUAUGGGCUAUGACAAAUGAAACUCAGAAAUAGUACUCCCUCCGUCCUAUUUUAUGUGUCGCCAUUUGACCGUGCACGGAGUUUAAGAAAUAAGGGAAGACUUGGUAAAGUUUACCAAAUCAUCCUUUAUCAAAAAAUUUGUCAAUAUCUCUUUUUUUUAAUUAAGUGGGACCAAUAAGGGUAAUUGUGCCUUUAAAAAGUUUUCAAAUAAGGAAAGGCGAUACUUAUUUUGGGACGGAAUAAAAAGAAAAUGAUGACACAUAAUUUGAGACGGAGGGAGUAUUAUGUGAUUUUGGACGUGCUGUUGCAUCAGCAUUAUAGGACAUCUAAUUGUUAGACUAGAGAAUAAUCAAGUUUUUUCAUCUUGAACUGUCUGAACACUCUUGUGCUAAACUUGGAAUGUGUUUUUCUUUUGAACUGAUGCUAACUGGAUCACAUAUAUUAAACCUAUAUAAAUGUGAAGAUGCAGUUUUCUCUUAUUUAUUAAUAUGAACGUGAGUAUAACUUGGUUGAAGUCCGUUACUCUUCAACUUUGAGGUUAGAGUGAGCAUGUCACCUUUUUUGUUUCUUCAUGUUGAAAGAUUACUUGGAAGAAAGGGUGACCAUUGUGCUUAGAAUAAUUGGAUCUUUGGUUGAGUGAUAAAACAGAAAAUCAGCGCCCGUUUGGCCAUAGAUUUUUGAAGUUGAAACUUGAAACAUGAAAAGUUGAGUUUUUGUAGUUGUGUAGAGCCAAAUUAUAAUAUAGGAAUGAAUACAAAAGAUACAUUGCUAGCUAUCUCCAAUUAGUUUGGGACUGAGGUGUUGACUACUAGAUAUUCCUCUCCCAUCCUUACCGAUACAUCACCUUGACCUUUUUAUCUUCCUUUCACCCAAACCAAAAAGGCAUUAGCUCAAUUUCAAUUGUUCUUUAAGUUCUAUCAUCUCACAUUUAGAUGUUUGUAUUUCUUUCUAACCAUGAUUGGUUGAUUUGCCUCUUCACUAGCUAACUUAUACGUGGUUUAUAUACUUAUUUUGUUGUGGAAUAGUCCUUUUUAUGUUGUCAUUUAAGUCCUAAUUUAUAUUAUUUGUUCUCUUUUUAUAGGUGUCCAAAAUGAAGAAAGAGAUGAA